GUGACGUCACACAGGUGGUAUAAAGCGGGCAGGGCCAACCCACCAGCCAGUGUCAACUCAGAAGGCGCAGGAAGAAGGUAGGCGCAGGAACCACGAUCAGGAACGAUGACAACUUUAACUGCACUCCUCGGAUUGUCGAUUCUGGUUACCUUUGCCGGGAACCAUGUUGGGGCCCAAACAACGUCCACCAUUGCCCCUAGCCAGACACAAUCAGUUGCUGUAUCUGGGACGUCAACGGUUUUGGCGUCCGCCAGUGUGACAGCAUCAGCAUCCGUGUCAGCAUCAGCAUCAGCAUCAGUCACUCCCACGAACAUGCCCACAACUACAACAACGGCUGGGUCGUCAGAGAAAACAUCCUCUACCAUUCUAUUCUUUACAGUAAUCAUGGCGUCAAUAUUACUCGUUGCCGCCAUUGCUAUGUAAUUACAUCCUAAUCCGAAGCGUGACGUCAUUGUCGUUCUCGCCAUUGUGAAAUGACAACUAUAUAUGUGAUACUUACUUCAUGAGACGAAUGUAGUCGCUAUCUGUCGGGUGGCGUCACUGUGUACAUGAAGAUUGGUAUGACGCCAGGCUGGUCGACUGAUCCGAUAAACACCCUUACGCCCAAGCUCCUUCCCAGCGCGUGACACCUUCGUUACACUCUAUAGAGAGCUCCGCGAACGGACUAUCGCUGUGAGGAGCUUGCCUUACGCCAUGACACCCAGCGGACACCGCAGAUUACACCCCGAAAUAUACACACUCCAGGCGAUACCCUGGAAGACAAACCUGACACAAAGACACUGUUCAAUGGUUUUGUAAUCAUGAUGCGUAUUUAAAAUUAGUCCUUUUUAUAUUUUUAUACUGAAAUAAAGAAUAUAUCUAUGUUGUUUAAA